GCGGAAGGAUCAUUAUUGUUCCUUACCGUUAAUAUAAUAAAAUUUUUUCAUCAUUUUUUAAUAAUUUUAAAAGAUAUGUUAAGUUUUAUACAAAAAUUAAAUUGAAUUAAAUAUAAUAUCAAACAUAAACAGAUAUCUAUCAUAUGCUUCAAAUAGAUUAUUUAUUAUUAAGUUUUAAAUUACAUAUGUGUGGAAAUAUUAUACUUGAUAAUCAUAAAUAAUAAUUAUUAUUUUUAGUGCAUGAAUGUAUAAAUGUUAUAUGUUUUGAUAUUAAAACUUGCGUGUAUAUGGACCAUAGUAUACAUGCGUUGCAAAAUGUACUGGCCAUUUUUUAUUAAAUGAUCAUACAUUGGUUACGCAACAACCUAAAUUUAUAAUGUUGUACCUGAAUUAAGGUUAACGUUUCACAAAUAUUGAUUGUUAUACAAAUAUGUUAAAUUAUAUAUUGUGUUAAAUACCGUAUUACCAUCGAUUUUGUGAAUCUAAGACAUUUCGCAACAUUUUUUAGGUAUAAAAAUAUAUUUAUUGAAGGAAUUGAUAUAUGCCAGUAAAAUGGUGUAUUUUUAAUUUCUUUCAAUAAAAUUUUAUAUGACGUAAUGAAAUAAACAAACAAAUUUUAAUCACUCUAAGCGGUGGAUCACUCGGCUCAUGGGUCGAUGAAGAACGCAGCAAACUGUGCGUCAUCGUGUGAACUGCAGGACACAUGAACAUCGACAUUUUGAACGCAUAUCGCAGUCCAUGCUGUUAUGUACUUUAAUUAAUUUUAAAGUGCUGCUUGGACUACAUAUGGUUGAGGGUUGUAAGACUAUGCUAAAUAAGUUGUUUGAAAAGAAAAGGAUUCCUCUUCUUUUUAAGCAUAUGGUAUAUUACUGGAU
rnacentral:misc_RNA from 1 species